rnacentral:snRNA from 1 species
GAUCUGCUCUCUUCUCACAGCAGC